rnacentral:rRNA from 1 species
GACGAACGCUGGCGGCGUGCUUAACACACGCAAGUCGAACGGAAAGGCCCUGCUUGCAGGGUACUCGAGUGGCGAACGGGUGAGUAACACGUGGGUGAUCUGCCCUGCACUUCGGGAUAAGCCUGGGAAACUGGGUCUAAUACCGGAUAGGAGCCAUUUUUAGUGUGAUGGUUGGAAAGUUUUUUCGGUGUAGGAUGAGCUCGCGGCCUAUCAGCUUGUUGGUGGGGUAAUGGCCUACCAAGGCGGCGACGGGUAGCCGGCCUGAGAGGGUGGACGGCCACAUUGGGACUGAGAUACGGCCCAGACUCCUACGGGAGGCAGCAGUGGGGAAUAUUGCACAAUGGGUGCAAGCCUGAUGCAGCGACGCCGCGUGGGGGAUGACGGCCUUCGGGUUGUAAACUCCUUUCGCUAGGGACGAAGCUUUUUGUGACGGUACCUAGAUAAGAAGCACCGGCUAACUACGUG